GGAAGAUUAAUACCGCAUAAGAUUGUAGUAUCGCAUGAUAUAGCAAUUAAAGGGAGCAAUCCGCUAUAAGAUGGACCCGCGUCGCAUUAGCUAGUUGGUGAGGUGAUGCUCACCAAGGCGACGAUGCGUAGCCGACCUGAGAGGGUGAUCGGCCACAUUGGGACUGAGACACGGCCCAGACUCCUACGGGAGGCAGCAU
rnacentral:rRNA from 1 species